rnacentral:lncRNA from 1 species
CCAUGAUAUGUUCCUAACUCUGGUUCACACUGCUAUAACUUGAUCAUAGACUUUUGGACUUGAAGCUGUAAUACUCCUGGGGUUCCCCAGUGACAGCCCACCCAGUUUUCCAGUGGCUUCUUGGCCCUGGCUUCUCUGAUCUCACAGGCUUCCCCUUCUUCUAAAUAUUGCAAGGCAAACCCAUAGUUUGUCCUCUGGUUUGACCAGGUUCUUGGUUCUGAUAGCCCCUUAUUCUGAGCCUUCCAGGCAGAGACUCCUACAGGACUCUGCCACCUCAGGACCCAGCAUAGGGCUGGGUGUCCUGAAGGUCUGCUAAGGGGACUCAUGCUGAGCCUUCGGAAGGUCACAAGGAGAGAACAGAGGGUGGGCUGAGGGUCCACAUGCCAACAUGUCAGGAGUUGGACUGCUUGGGUUCCAAUCCGGCUCCCGCACCUCACUGCCCCUGACCCUGGGCAAAUCACCAAACCCUUUGUGAUUGGUUUCCUCAUCUGUAAAAAGGGAAUCAUUAUAGAACCCCAAAGCAAAAUUAUAAGGCUCGGGUGAAAUACUGUAUAUAAACCUUUUAUUACAGGGCUGGGCACAAGGUGAGUGCUCGCCUUGACAUUGUUGCGCCAGAUUUCCCUAAGCACAUCACUGCAUGGCUGUUCUCUCUUCUGGAUACGGCCGCCCUUUCUGCCUAGAGACGUUUGAUUCUUCCUGGGGGGCGGUGCAGGGUCAGGUGAGCAGCUGGGGCUCCGGAGGGUCUGGGUCUCUGUCACUUCUUGCUGCGUCGCCUUCUGUGAGUCCUUCCCAGCCCCCUAAUCAUGCCCGCCUGAGCAAGAGGAUGAGAAAAUGCCGACCCCGUAGCGGGGACUCUGCUGCUGUGCGGGGCGCGGUUCGCCGAACCCACUGGCCGCUUCUAGAGAGUCGGCCCCAGGGCCAGGACCUCCACUUGGCAGGCGCUGGGGCGCCCAGGGGCAGGGCCAGCGCGGGAAAGGCCGCGAGUCCUUCGACCCCCUGGCAGUCUGGGAGCCGGCCGCGGCUGCCAUGGCAACGCCCGGAAGCUGCCGGGAGGGGAGGCAGGCCCAGCCGGGACGAGGCCCUGCCUCCAGCCAACGCUCCGCCCAGAACGAAGCCCCGCCCCGGAACGAAGCCCCGCCUCCAGCAACUCUCUGCCCGGAGAGAGGCCCGACAGCUGCGACCCGACUGGUUCUGUCCGAGCCCGACGGGCCGCGCUGACCCAGCGACUGUGCCUGACUGACCACAGGUGCCGCCACCGCCUGAUAAUACGAGUGUGUCAGCUUCCGUCUGACUGAACGCAGGUUUCAUGGGUGCCUGACAGACCAAGACUGCUGGAUCUGUCAGCCUGGCCGCAGCUGGCUGACUGGCUGACUGGCUGGCUGGUUGACUGGCUGGCUGACUGGCUGCCUGGCUGGCUGGCUGGCUGGCUGCUCUUGCCCGGCCGCCAUCUGGGCCUGACGGGCUGCGUCUGACCGGGCGGCCUAUCUGCCUCUGCCUGACCAGCCUCCAUCUGUGCUUGGCGAGCUGUGUGACCGGCCGCGACGGUCUGUGUCUGACUGAGCACAAGGUUCCUAGCGGCCGAUCAGCUGCUUGACCCCAUCUCUGCUGAGCCGGCCGACACCGACGGAUUGACUCUGGCAACGCCUGGCCCGAGUGGCGCUACCGGCUUCCAGAGACUUCCUGACCCCUGCCGAGGUUGCACCGCUCAGCGCUGCCCUGUGAGGCGCUGACUGUGGCCGCAGCUGAGUGCGGCUGCCCCUUCACAGACAGGGCGUGCAGAAUGACGGUCGCCUGGCUGUCCCUCCCUAGGCGCCCCUGGCUAGCUCGGCUUGCCUGGCAGCGUCUGUGUCUGAGGGACGUGUUGGUGGCCGCCGCUGGCCGCAUCUGUCCCCCUGCAGGUGGGCAUCAGGUUGCCCCCGUGAAGUGCAGCUGGGGCCGAGCCUGGCUGAAGGACGGCCACCUUCUCUCCAGCUGUCCAGCGAGGGCUUCUGAGGUGGUGCCCUCCGGGGCUCUGUGGCCUGGACCUCUCCAGCCACACACAGUCAGAGCCUUAGGGGAUCCCAAGCAAGGGCACCCACAGGGAAGAGAGCCUAAGACAGAGGCCAAGGGACAGGCAGGCAGCAGGGGUGGGACUUCGGGCCAGGCGAGGAACAGCUGGAAGAAGCUCCGGGGCUGGGAGGAGGCCGCAGGACCUUGAGGUGCCGGAGUUUAGGGAUCCGAUUCUGUAAGGGAGGCAGCACCUUGAGGAGUUGGGUUGGUGUGUGGGGUCCUCAGGACACGAUCCCUGACUUUGAAUACCUUUUUUUGCGGGUUUUGGGGAAAUCUCUGUCAGUGCCUUGCUGCUCUGCAGAAGGGUCAUCCCGCAGACCUCAGAUCUCUUCCCGAAUUAAUUAAUUUAUUUAUUUUUAUUUAUUUUUUUCUUUUUUUGAGAUGGAGUCUUGCUCUGUCGUCCAGCCUGGAGUGCAGUGGCCCGAUCUUGGCUCACUACAAACUCCGCCUUCCAGGUUCAAGCGAUUCUCAUGCCUCAGUUUCCCAGGUAGCUGGGAUUACAGGUGUGCGCCACCAUGCCUGGCUAAUUUCUGUAUUUUAGCCGGGGGUUUGUAGAGACAGGGUUUUGCCAUAUUGCCCAGG